rnacentral:rRNA from 1 species
UACAGAGGGUGCGAGCGUUAAUCGGAAUUACUGGGCGUAAAGCGUGCGUAGACGGUUAUGUAAGUCAGGUGUGAAAGCCCCGGGCUCAACCUGGGAAUUGCAUUUGAGACUGCAUAGCUAGGGUGCGGAAGAGGGAAGCGGAAUUUCCGGUGUAGCGGUGAAAUGCGUAGAUAUCGGAAGGAACAUCAGUGGCGAAAGCGGCUUCCUGGUCCAGCACCGACGUUCAGGCACGAAGGCCAGGGGAGCAAACGGG